rnacentral:rRNA from 1 species
AUUGAACGCUGGCGGCAGGCCUAACACAUGCAAGUCGAGCGGAUGAAAGGAGCUUGCUCCUGGAUUCAGCGGCGGACGGGUGAGUAAUGCCUAGGAAUCUGCCUGGUAGUGGGGGACAACGUUUCGAAAGGAACGCUAAUACCGCAUACGUCCUACGGGAGAAAGCAGGGGACCUUUGGGCCUUGCGCUAUCAGAUGAGCCUAGGUCGGAUUAGCUAGUUGGUGAGGUAAUGGCUCACCAAGGCGACGAUCCGUAACUGGCCUGAGAGGAUGAUCAGUCACACUGGAACUGAGACACGGUCCAGACUCCUACGGGAGGCAGCAGUGGGGAAUAUUGGACAAUGGGCGAAAGCCUGAUCCAGCCAUGCCGCGUGUGUGAAGAAGGUCUUCGGAUUGUAAAGCACUUUAAGUUGGGAGGAAGGGUUGUAGAUUAAUACUCUGCAAUUUUGACGUUACCGACAGAAUAAGCACCGGCUAACUCUGUGCCAGCAGCCGCGGUAAAAC